ensembl:misc_RNA
AUGAUUUCCGCACUGGUGACUGAAGCCCUCUGCUUAUCCACAAACUAGAUGGAAAGGCAUCAGUAAUGCAAGCCCCCCAUGAUCCCUCUUUUCUGCCCUGGAGCACCUCACUCUAUGCACGAGAGGACAGUCCAGUCUCCAUGGCCCAUUCAGUCCUUGGCCUCU